GAUCAUGGCUCAGGAUGAACGCUGGCGGCGUGCUUAACACAUGCAAGUCGAGCGAAGCACUUAAGUUAGAUUCUUCGGAUGAAGACUUUUGUGACUGAGCGGCGGACGGGUGAGUAACGCGUGGGUAACCUGCCUCGAUACAGGGGGAUAACAGUUAGAAAUGACUGCUAAUACCGCAUAAGACCACGGUACCGCAUGGUACAGUGGUAAAAACUCCGGUGGUAUGAGAUGGACCCGCGU
rnacentral:rRNA from 1 species